rnacentral:ncRNA from 1 species
CGCCCAGGUGCCGCGAUUUCGCGGUGAAAAGGGAACCCGGUGCAAAUCCGGGACGAUGCAGUCACUGUAACGGGGAGUGCUUUCUUUUGCCACUGGGAAACUGGGAAGGCGAAAACAUAAGGAACCGAGUCAGGAGACCUGCCUGGGCGU